GUAUCUCCUAUAUAAACCCUUGUCCAACCCUUGUACUCGUUCGUGCCAAAGUACAAAGCUUGUACAAUAACAAUCCUCUCUUCAAACUAUCACCUCUCUCUCAAUCUCAAACCUAAACAUUACCAAAAAAAAUAUAUUCAACUUUGAUUUGAUUUAGUUCACUAGACUUUUUUACUUUCACAAGCUAUUUUGCAAAGUCUCUAGAGUCAUCAAUAGUUACUACAAUGAGCAACAUGAAGAACAAAACAGCAAAUUUGUUAAAGCAAAUCAUUGCCGAUUUAACCUCAAUGACAAAGUCAAAAACUAUGUCUUUAAAGUCCAAAACAAAUACCAUCAAAGCUCGUUCAAUUAUACUCUCAGUCAUGAACAAAAAGUUCCUUAUGAGUUCAAUUUCAGAGAAGUUUCAUUCUGUUUGGGGGAGCCAUUCUCAUCAUCACUUCAAAGAAGAUUGUUUAAUUGAAGAAGGUGGCAAUUUUGAUGAUCACAAUAAAGCCCUAGUUGUGUAUAACAACAAAGGUCACAGUUAUGAAGCGUUGCGAAAUCCAAGUGAAACACAAGUUGUGGAUGAACAACAAGACCAAGGAGAUGGAUAUGAUAGUUACUAUGGUUAUGGAGAUGAUGAUGGCAAGUACCCUGACUUGACUCACACUCUUUUUGAUUUUGAAGGAUUGGAUUUUGAUGGCUCAGUGAUUGAUAAGGUGAAGAUUUGCAAGGAAGAAGCAGGGAAAGAGUUUAAACUUGAGGAUGAUAUUGAUGAAGUUGCCGAUCUUUUUAUUAGGAGGUUUAAAAGAAAUAUAAUUUUGCAAAAACAAGAUUCAUUGAGGAGGAGGAGGGAAACCGUGCAAAAGGGUACUUAAAUUUUGAUAUGCAUUCUUAAUUCAACGACUCUUCAGCUAUCGAAAUACACAAAAGCUCAAGCUCGUCUUUCUUUGCCUUCGAAAUCUAGACUGACGAGUCAUCAAUGUUGAUUGGACGAUUCAGAUGCGACCGACUAUGUGCAGUCCCAAGUAUUGCACAUAAUCCAAAUAAGAAUUUUAGAUGCCUAUUUACCUUAGUCUUUAUAGGCUCAAUAUUACAUUUUGUUUCAACUAUAUACCACCAUGAAUCUUCAUGAUUUGUUUGUCAUCACUUAUCGCUUGGCAUUGAAUGAGCUAAGAAGUCUUUCUUGGACUAUAUUGCAACCAUUAGUGUCACCAUUGCUGUAGAAUGGAUUCCUUGUGAUAUAAUGUGAUACAAAUUAACAUCUUUACGUUAGUGAGACUUAAACAAGGGGAGAAGAAAGGAAAAAAAAUUCAAUGUAAUGUGAUGCAUGAUAGAAUUUGUGAACAUAUGGAAUCUUCACUUAUGGGUCAUUGUUUUGGUUCGGACGAUUCAAAUUAUGAGAGAUAAAGUUAAUAAACUAAAAUUAUUUUAAUGGUAAAUUUUCUUUUAAGGAUGAUUGUGUGACUAGUUCUAUCGUGUGUGUAAUAAUACAGAUUAGGCUUAAUGAUGUGAUUAGUCCUUGCAAUUAGGCGUCAUUUAAAAAUUCGUUCCUGUAAUUGCUAAUCCUGACAAUUUAGCCUUGCAAUUGUUAAUCAUUUAAAAUUUGGUCCUUGGACCAACUUAAUCACUGCCACGUCACUAAUUUGAUGACGUGGCAAUCACUGUCACACAUGAAAUUCCAAUUUUGCCCUUAAGAAGAGGACAAAAUAUUGAAGAAAGAAUUGGAAACCCAGGGGUAAAUUUGGAAUUUCAUGUGGCGUGGCAGUGAUUAAGUGGGGAGAGGGACGAAAUUUUAAAUGAUUAACAAUUGCAAGGCUAAAUUGCCAGGAUUAGCAAUUACAUGGACGAAUUUUUAAACGACGCCUAAUUGCAAGGACUAAUCACAUCAUUAAGCCUAGAGAUUAUAUAUGGACAAAUAAAGCACACUGUUUUUUUAAUCAACAAAAGCACACCAUGUUAAAGUAAAGUAAAGAGAAAGCUAAAAGCUGAACUUUGAGAGGUAAGUUAUUUAUUAGGUCAUCUUCUUGCUGAGCUGAAACUUUAAAUAAAAAAUAUUUAUUAUAUAUAAUAAUUAUAUCAAGUUCUAGAAACACAAAAAGAAAUAUACACACGUUCUUUUUAAGUUAUAGUGACAUAUUAAUCUUUACAGCCUAGAUUGCACAAUGAUUCCUAAACUCACGUUAGUUUCUAACCAAAAAAUGAAAAGCAAAAUCAAUCAAAUCUCGUCCGUGCAGCUAAGUGCACAUCUUUUGGUUUCGAAUGGAACAGAGGUACAUGAUUUAUAUAACUAAAAAUGCAUGCAUGCAUGUAUUUCCUAUAAAUAAAUAAGUUAGUUUACUUUAAUGAGAAUAUUUGGAUCAACAAGGCAACUAAAAAAACCCAAAGCCAAAGCUAUUAUCGAUCUCGACUGCAACAUCAUCAUCAAGUUGUCCAAAAAAGAAGCCGUUUGAGAAGCUACAAAGAAAGGCCCACAAAGCAGAUUGGAAAAAGUUAUGACAUACAUCCAUGCGAUGCACCUUAAUUUCAUAAUUUGGUUUGUUUGACAUUGUGUUGAUUAAUUUUAAUUUUGUGACAUACUAGUAAAAGGAUUCAAAUAUCUCUCUCAUUCUCUCAAUACACUAGGUAAAAUUUGGAUUAAAUGUAAGGUAAAGCAACCACUUGACAUAUAUUCUUUGCUUGACUUAUAUUUUGCGAAUUGUUGUUUUUUUUUUUUAAAGAAUUUGCGAAUUGUUGUUGUAAUUAACCCUUUAACAUUUAUGUAAAGUGGUUAAUACUAUCUCUUUGGAUCAGGUUGAAGCAACUCAAUUUUACUCUGAAUAUUUCAUUUUGCUUAUAAAUUUAGCAAGACAUAUGUUAUCCUUGAAAAUUUGUGGAGUAACCUUCAAAUGGUGUCCAAAAAGGCUUGGCGGCGCAGCUUAUUGUCCACUUGCCUUCUAUUCAAGUGUAAAUAAUGGUUUAUAUAUAUGACAUUGGUGUCGAUAAACUAAUUUUAACUUCACGUGCAAAUUUGCUUUAUUGAUUAGUUUUCAUUGGUCGUUGGAUAAAUUAUCCAUAAUUUUUAGUUUUUGGUCAAAUACCCUCCUACUGGCCUGGCUACUACUACCAUAAGCUCAUGGGGACAAAUUAUCCAUAAUUAUUUCAGGGUAACUAAGAGCAAACUUAUAUAUAUUUACAUCUCCGGGUAAAUACAACAUAACAAAUAUACUUAACCCGAAAGAAGAAGAAAAAAAAAAUUACCCCGAAGAAGACAAUACCUCUAAAUUUAUGCCUAAAGCAAAACUUUGCAAAACAUGCUAGCUGCUUUGUGAUAUCAUAAAGGUGUAGAAUACUAAUGUUCAAAAUUAUAUAGGGACCACAUUUGCAAAAGUAUAAUCAAAAGAUUUUUAAAACAAUAACUUUGCAUUAUAUAUAGCUGUUCAUGUUCAACUAGAUAUUAAAUACUCUAUCAUUUUUAGAUAUAUAUUCAUAAAGCAUGUUACCAAUAAUAGCAAAAAGAAAUUCAAAUAGAAGAAAUGCACAAGAAUCAUGAGGUUAUUUGAAUUUUAGCAGCCGUUCUUAGCAGUGUGGUUAGACUUUUUUAAAUUUAGGCAAUACAUUUUCUGUUCCAAUUAAUAUCCAAUUUACCAAUCCAACCAGGCGUGUGGUUAUUAAACUUCUCUUAAUCUGUACAUAGGUCAAAUCAGAUAGUUGAUAUAUGUGAGCAACAUAUAUGCGUAAUGCAUGCAUUUUCUUGUUGCUUUUGAAAUUAAUGUGGGAAAAGAAAAAUCACAACCGAUAUUACCUAGCUUAUUCAAUUUUGGUUUUUAUAUAGAUCAAGUUGGGACAACUAAUUUACACCGAAGCCACUAUAUUUGAAAUUGAUCGAGCUAGGAGGUCUAAAAUCUGAAAGCAAAAACAAUAUAUACGAAAAAGUUUUACAAUCAUAUGUACUAUUUUGAUUAGGAAACUAAAUAUUUGAGUGGUUGGUUUUCAUACAAACAAGGGAUUGUACGUUCUAUUCAAAAUGCCAUAUAUAUUGAUGAUUUAGUUGGUACAAAAUAAGUGGAACCAAUGCUAUUGUACAAAACGUCAUUUAUGAAUAAAGGGUGUGUAUGUAUGUAUAAUUGUCCUUUAGAAAAUGAUCUUUGUAUUAAAGAAAAUGUUGACCUUGCAAAGUUUAAAUGGAGAGGAUCUUAACCCCUUGAAGAUGAACUUUAAAAUUAAUGACAAUUAAAUUCCGUUAGCAGGGGUGGAAGUAAAGGUAAACAAAUUUUUAUAGCUUUAUUCUUAUCUAAAAAGUUGUUAUAUCCUAUUAAAAUUACUGAAAAUAUGCGCAAUUCUUAAAUGAGAAUUACACUUUUGUAUGUUUGGUUCCAUUUUAGAGGAAUUGGAAUUGAUUAAACUAUAGAAUUGAUUUUGAUAAUUUGGUUGUUUUUUUAGAGGGACAAUUUGGUUGUUGUCAAGUAGAACUGAUUCUAUGUCUACGAUUAAUUCUACGAGUUAGAAUUUGUAGCUUUUGAUAUUAGAAUUGAUUUUCCCACAUAAAUUUAUAAUUUAACUCACUUUUACACGGAUGUAUCUAAACACAAUCAAUUAUAGUCAGAAUCGUUUUUUUUUUUUUAACUAAAAUCAAUUCUACAUAAUCAAUUCAAUCAAAAUCAAUUUUUCCCACUGCACAACCAAACACAUGCUUAGUGAUUGGUGUAUCCGAAAAGAACGAAAUCAAGUAGUGUUUAAGCAUUCACAUUUUGGUGAUUUGCCAUCUUAUAAAAAAUCGUAACACUUAAGUCUUCAAAUGUGAAAAAAAAUCAAAGGGAUAGAAUACUCAUGCCUUAAGAUUUGUAACAUUGACGCUUAAGUCAUUAUUGAAUAUGUAUAGAAUCGAAAUUGAUAUGUCAAUUUAAAACAAACGAAUACCGUAACAAAGGCAACGAAUAAAACACCACCUUACCUCGACAUCGAAACCACGGGAAAACACAACAACAAAAAAAUCAAAUAUAUGUGGAAAUUACUUAUUUAAAUAAUAAUGAUGUAGACUUGUGAUUCUAGGCUAAGUCGAGCCAUACUUUACAAGACCUAAGAUUGUCUUGUAUGAGUUUGACCUAUUGAAAGUUUCAUAUGAUCUGCUAUCCUGUUUAAAAGCAUAUUUCAUAUGACCGUCUUUAAAUAAAUAAUGUGAUCUAAAUUUAAAUAGACUAACAAGCAAAUAGAUCAACGAGAUUAAACUCCCUUUUGAUAUUAAAUAUGAUUUUUUUUAGAAAAUUCGACUAUGUAUUCUAUCAUAUUUCAAUUCUAGUUUAUAAUAUUACAUUUAAAUAUGCAAAAAUUUAAUGUUCACAAAUAAGCUUAAAUUACUGAAAAGAUUAACCUUGCUAGCCUUACUAUCAAGUACUGCAUCGAUUCGAAUUUCUCUCCCUCUCCAACAAGCCGGCCCUAGCUCUCUCUCUCUCUAGGUUUUCUCUUACGGUUUCUUCAUUGAGGGGUGGUUUUGGGUCAAUUCUUGACCUGAAAUCACAUGUCUUCAUCGUUUUCUCUCUAUUUCAAUCUAAAUAAGUGAUUUUCACAUAGAUCUAGGUUUUUCUUUCUUUGUGAUUUUUUGUUGUUCGUCGUCUUGUGCGGCGUUGUUUGAUUUCCCGUCUUUGUGCGGUGUUCAUUUGAUUCAUAUUGAAAUAUCGAUUAUUCAAUCAAAGAUUUGGGCGUCAACGUUACAGAUCUGGAGGCCAUGGAUAUUCCGGUCACUUUAGUUUUAUCAUAUAUUUUUGUAGGCAUUAUGCCGUUAUAUGCUAUUAACUUGGAUGCUGUAAGUUUGUUCGUAGAUUCAUCCUUUACGUUUUUAGCGGUGUUGAAUGAUGUAGUCUCUCGAUUUGAAUGAAUGAAUAUCAUUUUGUUUUUGUAAAAAAAUAAUAAUAAUUAAAAGUACCAAAAUAUAAUACAACAAUAUUAGUAAUAAAUAAUAUAAUUAUUCAUAUUUACUUAAAUAGACCAAUCUGAUAGGUUUAAGAGGUUUUCUUAUGGCUUGCGACCUGACCUUUUUUAACUAAAUAUUGCAUCUAAAAAACUCUAAGCUUUCUCUAUUUAAACAAAAAAUGAUCUAUUAUAAAUUAGGUUGUAGGCCUCUCUAGACCGACAUGGCUUAUUUUCAUCCCUAGUAUUACUCUUUUUUUUACUUAUUUUUUAAAUUAUUUUAGCACCAUUGACAUGAAAAACAACAAAGCACACGGCACUAGAAAAGUAGAGAAGAUUAAAAUGAAAAUCGUAUGGCUCUUGUGAGCAACCUUAGGGGCUAAGUUCUUAUAAAUACCUUUAAAAACUUCAACAAUUGGACGUAUUCAAUCACAUGCUCCCUUCAAAACUUCCUCACGCUUUGACUUGAAAUCCGUUUCUAAGUGGCCCAAAAUUUUGAACAAUCCUAUAAACAUGAUUUUGAAUCAAAUUAAUCUUGUAAAAUUACAAUUCAGUUUUAUUUUAAUUAAGGUUUGGAAUUAUAAUUAAUUUAAAAAUUACUAUUGAUAUAGAUAGUUAGACAUUCCACUCACACAAGUUGUGACUCGAGUUCGAGUAAAAAACAAUUGAUAAGUUAUGUAAAUACCAUUGUAAAUCUACAACGAGGUUCUCCGACCUUCCAUGGGUUUACCUCUCCUAAUCUAGUGUUUUUAUAAACAAUAAUUAAAAUCAAUUUGUUUUUUUUUUUAUUAUUUCACUAUGCUUUAGCAAAUUAGUAUUCUAAAAAUCAAUCUCCUUGAACCAAGACCAUUUGGGUGAGGGAGCGGUUAUGGUGCAUAAGGAAAUCCUUAUACACCGUGCAUAAAUCUCAACAUAAUUGCUUCCUACACCCUCAAAGGAAAUCAAAUAAAAUAAAACAAAACGAACCAAACGCGGAAACAAACUGAAUCAUCACCUUCGUUCAUCAACAUACCACUUAAACAGCCAUAACUCAAAAGACCCCCUAUCAUCAAAUGACAAGUGUCCUUCAACUUCAGUACCACCUUUAACUUCUUUUUUCACUUUGCUUUUGUUUUCUUAACCCUCGCUCUUUCUUUUUUUGCACUUGUUUCAAUCACACAAAUUAAUUGUCACACUACAUUAUUAUUAUUCUUACCUUAUAGUAUCUCCUAUAUAAACCCUUGGCCACACCUUGUCCUCUUUCGUGCCAAAGUACAAAGCUUGUACAAUAACAAUCCUCUCUUCAAACUAUCACCUCUCUAUCAAUCUCAAACCUAAACAUUCCCAAAAUUGUUAUCCAAAUUUGAUUUAGUUCAUUCAACUAUUUUACUUUCAUAAGCUAUUUUGCAAAGUCAUCAAUUAUUACUACAAUGAGCAACAUGAUGAACAAAACAGCAAAAUUGCAGAAGCAAAUUAUAGCUGGUUUAACAAAGUCCAAAACUAUGGCAUUAAAGUCCAAAACAAAUGCCAUCAAAGCUCGUUUAAUUAUAUUCUCACUCAUGAAGAAUAAAAAGUUCCUUAUGAGUUCAAUUUCAGAUAAGUUUCAUUCUGUUUGGGGGAGUCAUUCUCAUCAUCACUCCAAAGAAGGUGGCAAUUAUGAUGAUCAUAAUAGAGCCAUGGUUGUGUAUUACAACAAUGCUCACACUUAUGAGGCGUUGCGAAAUCCAAGUGAAACACAAGUUGUGGAUGAACAAGAUCAAGAAGAUGGACAUGGUGGUUACUAUGAUGAUGAUAAUCCUUUUGGUUCUCAGGGAUUGGAUUUUGACGGAUCGGUGAUUGAUAAGGUGAAGAAUUGUAAGGAAGAAGCAGGGAAAGAAUUUAAACUUGAGGAUGAUAUUGAUGAAGUUGCUGAUCUUUUUAUUAGGAGGUUUAAAAGGAAUAUAAUCUUGCAAAAACAAGAUUCAUUGAAGAGGAAGAGGGAAAUGGUCCAAAAGGGUGCUUGAAUUUUCAGUUCAUUUUUUUAUUUUGAGUCCAAAAGGGUGCUUGUAUAUAGGAUCCAAACUCCUUGAAAUAUUUUAUUGAAAUCUGGACCGUCAAUAUUUUGAUUUGACGAUUCAGAUGUGAAGUCACAAGUACCGCACACAAUCAAAAUAAGAGUUCUAGAUGCCUAUAUACUUUAGUUUUGUAGGCUCAAUAUUACAUUUUGCUUGAACUAUGUACUACCAUGUUUAAUUUCAUGAUUUUGGCAUCGGUUAUAAUUUGGCCUUUACGUGCAGAACUAAUAUGCCUUUGUUGGACUAUAUGCAUUGCAGCCAUUAGACUCACCAUGCUUGUUGGACUAUAUAAAUGAAUGAGUGACAUCAGAAAAAAAAUUUAAAAAUGAGGAACCAAAAUUUAGGAAAAAGAUGAACGGGGACCAAGAAACUGAUAUUUAAAAGGCUUUAAUAUGUGUUUUGUCCUUGUAAUUAGGGGUCAUUUAAAAUUUGGUCCCUGUAAUCGUUAAUCCUGGCAAAUUGCCCUUGCAAAUAUUAAUCAUUUAAAAUUUCGUUCCUUGACCCAAUCAAUGACUGCCACUUCAUCAAAUUAGCAAAAUUGCAUGGGAAUGGACCAAAAUACACUCAUUUUUCUUAUUGCCCAGAAUACCAUCUUGGAGCCCAUAAAAAUAGCAUGGAACAGAAUAAAAAUAUUCAUCUUAAUCGAAGUCACAACAACAACAAUAUCAACUACAACUUCCUCUGAAAUUGAAGAAUCCAAAAUUCAUCUCUCAAUUGAAGAACAUAGAACACACAACAAACCUAUUCAGAAAACACCAUAAAAAACCAUAACAACAUAAAAUCCACCCUCUUCUUCUCCACCCUCCGAUUCAGAAACAACAACAGCCGGAGAACACCGCGAAGUGGAUCUUUUCUCCGAUGAAAUCCUUCCGGAUCGUACACACAAUGAGAUCUGAACGAAAGAGGUAACAACUGAUAUCAGUAAAUCAAACCAAAUCAAUCUAUUGAGGAGGAAUCGAGGGAGUGGAAGAACGCCGGCGAGGGAGGAGGAUCGGACUUGGGAUGGCCUAAUCGUUGGAAACAUGUUGAUGAAGCUGAGGUGUGUUAAACAGUUCCCACUUUAAUUUCAAAGUUUCUAGCAUCUUCUUAGCUUCACGCUGCUGUUAAUUACAAAGAAAGAAACAAACUGUUAAAGAAAAUUGGUGUUCGAAGAUAAAAGAAAAUUGAAAAAUUGAAGAGUUUUCAUUCUUACACAGUAGCCAUUGAUUAUGCUCCUGCACUUAAAUGUGUCUAUGUUCAAGUCAGCGCAAUUCAUCUCUUUCCAAGUGAAACUAGUUUAGAGUUGGAAUUACAUUUCCACACUUAUGUCCAAUCUAUCUAUUUGUCAAAAAAAAGUCCAAUUAAAAAAAAAGGAAGAGGGAGGAAGAAAGGGGUACGAAUAGGGAAGAGGCAAGAGGGUAUUCUGGGCUUCAAGAUGAUGAAGCUAUGAAUUCUGGACAAUAAGAAGAAUGAGGGUAUUUUUGUCUAUUUCCAUGCAAUUUUGCUAAUUUGAUGACGUGGCAGUUAUUAAGUGGGUCAAGGGACGAAAUUUUAAAUGAUUAAUAUUUGCAAGGGCAAUUUGUCAGGAUUAGCGAUUACAAGGACCAAAUUUUAAAUGACCCCUAAUUGCAAGGGCGAAACACAUAUUAAAGCCUAUUUAAAAUAAGGGAAGCAAGACUUCAUUUUUUUAAAUAGAGGGAUCGAAUGUGUGUUUAAGCAUAAAAUUAUUCAAAAAUAUUUUGUGAGGACAACACUUGAUUUAUAAUAAAAUUAAUCAACAUUAGGUGUUCAAAUUAACGGAAACAACACUCAAUAGAAAACCACAAAUUGAACUAACUCAAACUAAAAAUCGCAAAAAAUUAUAUUUGAUUGGGAUUUAUUUGGGCAACUUUUUCACUUGACUUUACGAUUCAGUUUGCGGUUUUUGUUUACCACACGAACCAAACCAAACUAAAACGCAAACUUAUAGAAACACUCAAGCAAUCCAAACACUCACUCAGCCCAAAAUAGUCAUUUUUUAUUAUAUUUUUUCUUAGCCCUUUCUUUUUUCUUUUUUACAAUACAAGUCGUAUAAAAUAUACAACACCAAUGUCAUCCAUAAAAUAGAGAAUAAACUUUACAAAUCGUAUAAAAAAGAGGUAAUUGUAAAAAGUUUAAUUUAUAUACAUUGUCAUUCUACAUUUUUUUUUACUGAUGCAUCAAUGCUCUGUUGCUAUAUCAAUUAAUGAGAUAUGAAAAGUCAUGUAUUUUUAACUCGUUACGUGAUGUGGCAACACAUAAUUGAAUGCAUGUGUAAAAGUUUUGUACAAUAUAUAUAAACAAAAUGCAAUUGUAAAUAUUGAUGAUUUUGGUUAUAUUUUCAUUUAGCCCUUUUUUCUUCUAUUUGUAAUUGAAGUUAAUCGUUAAUUGUAACACUUUUUUUUUAGGACAUGGUUGCACCUUUUCUUAUGUGCCUUAUAAUGAUAUUAGACCAUCCACAACAGGGCACUCCGAUUUAAGUGCUUAAAUGGAACUCCUUUGUCCACAUCACUCAUUUUAUGAUAGUACUUACUAAGCACCAAUUUUUUUCAAUCCAGCACCGCAAAAAAAAUUACUAAAUAUGUUCCACACCGCGAACAAAUUACAUCACUCAUUUUAUGAUAGUACUUAUUUAGAAGUUUGUACCAAAUAAAAAGAAAUAUAAUGAUAUUAGAAGUUAAUUGUAAAUCGUUGGAAAUUAGUUAAUUAAUUGUUGUAGCAAAUAUAAUUAAAACUGUUGACAAUUUUUAAAAAUUACAUGCUAGCUUGCAAAAUACCAAACAACACCGCGAACACACCAAUGUAUCCCCAAUUGGUUGAACCUACAUCCGUCCUUGCUUGAUUAAAGUCAUUUUCUUUCUGUGCUAAGACUUUCAACAACACGAAUAAUUUAUAUAUAAUAAUCAUAUAAUGUUCCAUAAGCUACAAAAAUAUCCAACUUAUAUACACAUGUUCUUCUAAAUUAUAACGAUUGAUUAAUCUUUACAGCCUAGAUUGCACAACGAUCCUAACCUCGUGUUAAUUUCCCACCAAAAAAAUGAAAAGCAAAAUCAAUCAAAUCUCGUCCGUGCAACUAAGUGCAUCUCUUUUGGUUUCAAUUGGAACAGAGGUACAUAACUUAUACAACUACAAAUGCAUGCACGUAUUUCCUAUAAAUAAAUAAAUAAAUUAGUUUACUUUAGUGAGAAUAUUGGAUGAACAAGGCAACUAAAACCAUAGCCAAAGCUAUUAUCGAUCUAGACUUCAACCUACCUUUCCACUAUUAAAAAAAAUCCAAGUUGUACUACAAAAAAAAGCCGUUUGAGAAACUACAAAGAAAGGCCCACAAAGUAGAUUGGAAAAAGUUAUGACAUACAUGCAUAUCCAUGCACCUUAAUUUUUUUUCAUAAUUUGGCUAGUUUGAUAUUAGUGUUGCUUAAUUUAAUUUCGUGAGACAAUGGUAAAAGGAUACUAAUAUCUCUAUCAUUCUCUCAAUACAUUGAGUGAAAUUUUGAUUAAAUGUAAGGUUAAACAACCCCUUGACAUAUAUUAUUGUAAGAACUCAAUUUUACUGAUAUGUAUAAUUCAUUUUGCUUAUGAAUAAAUAUGAAUUUACUAUAUACAUAUCCUUAUAAAAACAACAUAGAAUUAAACUUAGCCGGUAGAAGGCAAUAUACCUUCAAAUGCAUGCCUAUAUUCAGCUAAAUUAUAUAGGGACCACAUUUGCAAAAGUAUUAUCAAAAGAUUUUUAAAACUAUAACUUUGCAUUAUAUAGCCGUUCAUGUUCAACUAGAUAUUAAAUACUCUAUCAUUUAUAGACAUACAUUCAUAAAGCAUGUAAAAGAAAUUCCAAUAGAAGAAACGCACAAAUGAGAUUAUUUGAAUUCAAGCAGCCGUUCUUAAUUAGUGCUUAAUUGGACUUUUUUGAAUUUUGGCAAUGCAUUUUUUGUGUGCUAAAUUAUGACCACUUUGUCGAGCUUUAUACGUAGGUCAAAUCAGAUGGUUGAGACAUGGGAACAACAUUUACGUAAUGCAUGCAUUUUCUUGUUGCUUUUGAAAUUACUCCUAUUGAAAACAAAACACGAAAAGCACCCACUACCCCAAAAUCAAAGCCAUACCCAAAAUUAGCUAGCCGCCUCCUCCAUUCUCUCUUCCACGGGAGACGGAGAGGGGUGGUUUAGAGCUAAAAAAUUUUUAUCCGAAAUAACCCUAAAUCAUUUUUUCUUUUUAUUUAAACAAGUGAUUUAUACAAAUAUUUUGUCGUUUUAAUUUAAUGCAAUGCGUAUUUCUAACACCUUAAUUUCUUCAUAUUUGUAGGUUUUUUCAUACUUAUAGGUAUUUGUUGUUAUUAACGUAGAUGCUAUAAAUUAUUUGAUUGAUUUAGUCUAUCAAUUUAAACGAAUGUCAUUUUUUAUAAAGUAAAAAAGGCAACAAUUAAUUUAUACCAAAGCAACUAAAUUUGAAAUUGCACAAGUGAGUGCGAUCGAGCUAGGAGGUCUAAACUCCAAAAGCAAAAAUAAAAUCUAUAGGAAAAAGUUUACAAUCAUAUGUACUAUUUUGAUUAGGUAACUAGAUAUUUGAGUGGUUGGUUUCCAUACAAACAAGGGGUUCGUCAUAUGGAUGAUUUAUUUGGUACCAAUGCGUGGGACCAAUGCUAUUGUACAUAUGUUUAAUACAUAUUUCAUUUAGAAAAUGACUGUAAAAAAAAGUUGACCUUGCCAAGUUUAAACUAAAGCAACCCACUUUAAGAUUAAUGACGAUGAAAUUUAGCUAGCAGGGCUGGAAAUAGGUUAACAAGUUUUUAUAUAAUUAUGCCUACCCAAAAAAAAGUUUUUAUAUCAUAUCAAAAUUGGGGAUAAUCUGUGAAAAUCUUAGAUGAGAAUUAUACUUACCACAUAAAUAAAUUAAUUUCUUUGAAACAAUGGAUAUAAUAAUUGUUGAGGCGUUUCUAUGGAUUUUGUAAAAAUAAAAUAAAAUAUGAGUUUAGUUAAUUGACACGAUCUUGCGCACCCUCAACAACAGUUCUCUCCUUCAAAUUAUAUUUACUAUCUCAUGAGAUUUAAAAUAAUAAUGGAACCAAGUUCUUAAACAUAAUAAAAUAAUGAACUCAAGAGAUUAAUGAUCACCUGUUAAAAAGAAAUCAUUUUGGGAGAAUUCGAAUUUGAGUCCCAAAUUCAGAUUUAGUGGAGCCCCAAACCCCUAAAAAAGUAGGGUUAAGACAAAAUAAGUAUUUUUUUAUUUUCUAGAUGGAUAACAUAUAACUAUGGAUUGCUUGUUAAGGGUUUAACAUUCUGCAUGAUGACGGAAGUUAAUUUUUGUUGUUUGAGCUUGCUCAUUUUCUUUUGUCUUAUAAGUUUGCAUUUGGGUUGAGUUUCCUAACACUUGUUAGCAAAACCAUUUGUAAUAGUAUUCUUCUUUGCUGAAUAAAAAAAAAUACAAUGGAAACACACCCCAAUCACUUUAGCCUACAAGUGUACAAAUUGCAUCUAACAAUAAAAAAAUCAUCCUAAUAAAUGAGGGAACAUCAUCCCACCAAGUAUUGAAAUGAGAAGCAACGGAAAGAGAGGUUAGUUAUAUAUGCACAACAAUUGCCAAUCUCUAAAAAUAUGAGAAACUAAAAGAGUAAUAAUAUUUUCAACAUCAAAAUUUUGAUAAUUUAUGUGACAACCUAUAAAACAAAGUGUUAAUUUGAUUAAGAGAGAGAAAGAAAAAAAAUACUAUAAAACUCUCAUGAGUUGUUUUUAGUGUGAUUUUAUAAAUUGUCAUAUAAAUUGUCAAAAUUUUAAUGUUCAAAUAUCUUUGCUCAAACUAAAAAGCAUCUCUAAAAUUAAGUAGUCUUUUCACUAAAAAUUAUUGAAUAAUUUUAUAUGUAAAGAAUCAAAUCCAAAUCAGUGUGAGAGAUAAAUUAUAUAUAUACUCAAAAAUUUGAAGAAGCAUCAACAUCUCUAUAAUUAUUCAUCUGAAAUUUGUUGCUAGCACUUCUCUAUUCUUUAUGUGUCUUCAUAUUUUAAAAUUAAUUUGUAUUUUUUUCAUUUUCAACACAGUUAAACAUUCCCUCAAAAAAAAAAAAAAAAAUACACAGUUAAACAUCUCAAAAGAACAUUGUCAAAUAUCUCUCACAAACUAUAUUUAAAAUAUGAAGACACAUAAAGAAUAAAUGUGUUGAAAAUAUUAGUGAUGUUAUUAUAAUUGUUUUUUAAUAUAAACAUCUACAAUAUACAAUCUUGCCUCACUGAUAAAAUAUUUUGGACGAGUUUCUGGUUUUUUGAGUUUACGCUAUAAAAAAUUUGAUGUUGACAUUAUUCUUUUAAUUUAUUUCAAUUAUUUUACUUCCAUUGACAUGAAAAACAACAAAGCACACGGCACUAGAAAGUGGAGAAGAUUAAAAUGAAAAUCGUAAGGCUCUUGUGAGCAACCUUAGGGGCUAAGUUUUCAUAAAAAAAUCUACAAUAAUUUGAAUAUAUUCAAUCAAGCUCACUUCAAAAACUUCCUCACGCCAUGCCUUGAAAUCCGUUGCAAUAGUCAAAUUAGUGGCCCAGAAUAUUUGAACAGUGCUAUAAUCUAAGCCUUUACCUUUUUUUUUGAAGGGAUUUAAGCCACCUUGGUGAAGUUGAUUGUGAUAAUAUGAUUUUGACUACACUAAGCAAUUGAGAUUCCUAUUUCUAACAAAAACAAUUGAAUAAAGAUCAAAUGCAAUGUCAGUGGUACCACCCUUCUCCCCAUAUCACAAAAGAUUAGAGUCUGUAUAAUAAUGGUCUAUUGUGGAUGGUUAUUUUUGUCAUUUACCCCAAAAAUAUAUAAAGUUAAUGGAUUGAGUAGUAAUUAUUCCAUAGCAUCUGGUGGGUUAGGUUGGUUUGCCAGUGUGCCCAUAUCAUAUCAUUUCCUCAAAAGCUUCAAAGGUCCCCCAAAAUAGUGGUCAAAUUAUUGUAAGGGGCCAUAUGAAACCGUCUAUACUACAAAAGCAAGGGGACUUUGUUUUCUGUUUUUGUGGUUUUGUAAUUUCUUUAAUAAUUCUAUUAUGUGGAUUUAUUUCAUGGAUCCAUUAUAUUUCUUACUGUUUAAAAAUACAACUCCUCAAGAAAAACUGUUUAAAAAUACAAGUUUAAACAAAUUUUAGCCUAUAAACUAAUUAAAAUUACUCAUAAAAUUACUAGCUUUCUAAGAUGAAUAUUUGAUGAACAUAAUUUGAAAUGAAAAUUGAUUUUAAAGAAUUAAUUUAAUUACAAUUGAAUUUUAAGUAAAGUAAUUUUUAUUUAAGUAUUUUUAUGCUAUAAUCAAAUUUGAGAUAAAAUUCCCAGUCAAAAGUUUGACACCAGAUUUUGUGAUUUUUUAACCUGAUACAAAAAUAUCUUUUUGUAACGGUACCCAAAUAAAAAAUAUCACUAAACAAAAAUCAAUUAUUAUACUCUACCAUGGAAUAAAACAUAUACUUUUCUUUAUCAGAGAAAUCAAACAGAUACUUAACACUGCAGAAUCUGUUUUCUGAUUUCACUCUAAUCAAGCAAAUUAAUUAUUCAAAAAUCAACUUUUUGUAAUUGAUUCUAACCCUAGUUUUGUUUUUGAAAGAUGAUUCUAGCCGGAUAGCACUUGUGUACUAUAAUGGUAUAUACCAUUGCCUAAUUAGAAUGUGUCACGUGGCACACCCUUUAAAAAAAUAUAUCAAAUAAAGAAUUUAUAAAGUAACAUUGAUAGAUGGGACACUCUAAUUUACCAAUGGUAUAUAUCAUUAGUAAUCGUACACAAGUAGAAUCCUAUUCUAACCCUAGUUGAUUUCCUUGAAAUUGUUUAAGCAGAAAUGAACCAAAAGAGCUCCAAAUUAUACUUUGGUACCAAUAACAACACAAAGGAUCAUGAAGAGCCAAUGAAGGUCACACUUUAAUGUACUUUAUGAAGAGAAAUCAAAUCACAAAUUCAUAUAGUUUUGUUAAAAGUAAUAGAGUUCCACACUCCCAACCAAAAUUUUCAACUUCGUUAACCACUUAAACAGCCAUAACUCAAAAACCCUAUCAUGACAUGCCAAGUAUCCCUACUUUAUCAACCAACUUUAACUUUUUUUUCACUUUGCUUUUCUUUUCUUAACCCCGACUCUUUCUUUUGUUGCACUUGUUCCUCUCACACAAAACACUACUUUUAUUAAAUUAUGUUAAUUGUCACACUACAUUAUAUUAUUAUUAAUCAUACCUUAUAGUAUCUCUCCUAUAUAAACCCUUGUCCAACCCUUGUACUCGUUCGUGCCAAAGUACAAAGCUUGUACAAUAACCAAUCCUCUCUUCAAACUAUCACCUCUCUCUCAAUCUCAAACCUAAACAAUACCAAAAUUGUUUUUUAAAUUUUGAUUUGAUUUAGUUCAUUAAACUUUUUUACUUUCACUACCUAUUUUGCUAAGUCUCUAGAGUCAUCAAUUAUUACUACAAUGACAAACAUGAAGAGCAAAACAGCAAAAUUGUUGAAG
rnacentral:lncRNA from 1 species